rnacentral:rRNA from 1 species
CCGUCUACUCUUGGACAGCCUUCUGAAAGGAAGAUUAAUACAAGAUGGCAUCAUGAGUCCGCAUGUUCACAUGAUUAAAGGUAUUCCGGUAGACGAUGGGGAUGCGUUCCAUUAGAUAGUAGGCGGGGUAACGGCCCACCUAGUCUUCGAUGGAUAGGGGUUCUGAGAGGAAGGUCCCCCACAUUGGAACUGAGACACGGUCCAA